GGAGAAAUGGCUCAGCGGUUAAGAGCACUGACUGCUCUUCCAGAGGACCCAGGUUCAAUUCCUGGCACCC
rnacentral:tRNA from 1 species